CAGACAGCAAACCUCAAAUAAAACUUCACACACUAUAUCUUAUGACCGUUUUAACACUUCAUUAUAAUUAGAGCAGUGAGUGUGGCGAGCAGACGUGCAGACAUCAAUGCACUCAUGGGACGUUGAAGCUGUUUUGACAGCAACAUUCUGUUAACAGAGACUACAGUCUGCAGUGUAGAGCACACUUUACUCUUGGAAAUGAAGUUACAAUAGAACAGGUGAACUGUUUCAUCUUUCUCCUCUGUGCGUAAUGACACACUCGCUCAAUCUCGCUCCUCCGUCCGCUAUGAGCUAUUUCUCCCCAUUUUGUUUUGUAGUUAUUAAAAGAAUAAUCAUCUAAAAUUCCAAAAUAUAGAAAAACAUCUAGUUAUGCUGCUCUGUCCUGGAUGAUCAAACGUCAUUGGUUUGGGGGGGUAAAGCGUUAAUCGCAAAGUGAAAGUCCUUCUUUUUCUGUGGACUAAAAAGACAAUUUGAACUGAACGUUCGUAGAUCAUAUUGCAUAUUUUGUAGGGCUGCAACUAACGAUUAUUUUAAUAAUCGAUUAAUCGGUUAAUUAUUUUUCUGAUUAAUCGAUGAAUCGGAUAAAAAAAACAACAUUUUGAAUUUCCACAUGUUUAUUCAAAAACAGAACAUUAGUUCAUUGACAGUGCAAACAAAAGUGCAAAAACAGCAGGUUACUGCUUGGACGUCUCCAUGAGCUUUGGUUCAAGGUGGGGAUCAUUGUAGUGAAGUUACAUCUUAAUUUUCAACCAUCGUCAGAGGCCUCAUGUCAGCGACGAGCAUGUUGAGGAUGCUAUCUGUCAAGACGGAUGCUUGCUGUGGUGUACAUGAUGUUUUCUGCAAUGACAAAGAUAGUAUUAGU